CCUACGUGAUGCCGCAGUGAGGAAUAUUGGUCAAUGGGCGCGAGCCUGAACCAGCCAAGUAGCGUGAAGGAUGACUGCCCUACGGGUUGUAAACUUCUUUUAUAAAGGAAUAAAGUGAGGCACGUGUGCCUUUUUGUAUGUACUUUAUGAAUAAGCAUCGGCUAACUCCGUGCCAGCAGCCGCGGUAAUACGGAGGAUCCGAGCGUUAUCCGGAUUUAUUGGGUUUAAAGGGAGCGUAGAUGGGUUGUUAAGUCAGUUGUGAAAGUUUGCGGCUCAACCGUAAAAUUGCAAUUGAUACUGGCAGUCUUGAGUACAGUUGAGGUAGGCGGAAUUCGUGGUGUAGCGGUGAAAUGCUUAGAUAUCACGAAGAACUCCGAUUGCGAAGGCAGCUUACUAAACUGCCACUGACAUUGAUGCUCGAAAGUGUGGGUAUCAAACAGGAUUAGAUACCCUGGUAGUC
rnacentral:rRNA from 1 species